GACGAACGCUGGCGGCGUGCUUAACACAUGCAAGUCGAACGGUAAGGCCCUUCGGGGUACACGAGUGGCGAACGGGUGAGUAACACGUGGGUGAUCUGCCCUGCACUUCGGGAUAAGCCUGGGAAACUGGGUCUAAUACCGGAUAGGACCACUGCCUGCAUGGGUGGUGGUGGAAAGCUUUUGCGGUGUGGGAUGGGCCCGCGGCCUAUCAGCUUGUUGGUGGGGUGAUGGCCUACCAAGGCGACGACGGGUAGCCGGCCUGAGAGGGUGACCGGCCACACUGGGACUGAGAUACGGCCCAGACUCCUACGGGAGGCAGCAGUGGGGAAUAUUGCACACUGGGCGCAAGCCUGAUGCAGCGACGCCACGUGAGGGAUGACGGCCUUCGGGUUGUAAACCUCUUUCAGCACCGACGAAGCGCAAGUGACGGUAGGUGCAGAAGAAGGACCGGCCAACUACGUGCCAGCCGCCGCAGUAA
rnacentral:rRNA from 1 species